rnacentral:rRNA from 1 species
GAUGAACGCUGGCGGCGUGCCUAAUACAUGCAAGUCGAGCGAACGGACGAGAAGCUUGCUUUUCUGAUGUUAGCGGCGGACGGGUGAGUAACACGUGGAUAACCUACCUAUAAGACUGGGAUAACUUCGGGAAACCGGAGCUAAUACCGGAUAAUAUUUUGAACCGCAUGGUUCAAAAGUGAAAGACGGUCUUGCUGUCACUUAUAGAUGGAUCCGCGCUGCAUUAGCUAGUUGGUAAGGUAACGGCUUACCAGGGCAACGAUGCAUAGCCGACCUGAGAGGGUGAUCGGCCACACUGGAACUGAGACACGGUCCAGACUCCUACGGGAGGCAGCAGUAGGGAAUCUUCCGCAAUGGGCGAAAGCCUGACGGAGCAACGCCGCGUGAGUGAUGAAGGUCUUCGGAUCGUAAAACUCUGUUAUUAGGGAAGAACAUAUGUGUAAGUAACUGUGCACAUCUUGACGGUACCUAAGCAGAAAGCCACGGCUAACUACGU